ACAUCAGACAGCAGGGGCACAGCAAGUAACCACUCACCCUCGCUUCUCUAUGGAUCCCAGGUUAGAAAAGCUAACAGAAAACGAUGACAUUGAACAUUUCCUAAUAACUUUUGAACGCAUAGCAACAGCGUGCAAGUGGGUGGAGUCAGACUGGGUUUUCCGCCUCAUCCCACUGCUCACCGGUAAGGCCAGAAGUGCCUAUGUUAACAUGGAUGUCGAUGAUUCUUUGAACUAUGAAAAAGUUAAAACUGCAAUCUUGCAUAAGUAUGACAUCAGCCCUGAGCCUUACCGACAGAUUUCGUUCCUUGGAAGUGGGCCCCGACGAAAGUCCCAAGGAGCUUUAUGCCCGUCUCAAAGAACUCUAUGAUAAGUGGAUUCAACCCAGAGGUCUGGAUAAAAGAACAUGGGCCUAAAUCAGCAGCUGAAGCCGCAACACUGGCAGAGGUGUUUGUGGCUGCUCGCAA